rnacentral:rRNA from 1 species
UACAGAGGGUGCAAGCGUUGUUCGGAAUUAUUGGGCGUAAAGGGUGCGUAGGCGGUGCGGUAAGUCUCUUGUGAAAUCUCCAGGCUCAACUUGGAGGCUGCUUCCGAAACUGCCGCGCUAGAGUGCGAGAGAGGCCAGUGGAAUUGCAGGUGUAGCGGUGAAAUGCGUAGAUAUCUGCAGGAACACCCGUGGCGAAGGCGGCUGGCUGGAUCGCAACUGACGCUGAGGAACGAAAGCUAGGGGAGCAAACAGG